rnacentral:rRNA from 1 species
AUUGAACGCUAGCGGCAUGCUUUACACAUGCAAGUCGAACGAGUGGCGGACGGGUGAGUAAUAUAUCGGAACGUGCCCAGUAGCGGGGGAUAACUACUCGAAAGUGUGGCUAAUACCGCCUACUUUUGGCUCGGCCGAUAUCGGAUUAGCUAGUUGGUGGGGUAAAGGCGCACCAAGGCAACGAUCCGUAGCUGGUUUGAGAGGAUGACCAGCCACACUGGAACUGAGACACGGCCCAGACUCCUACGGGAGGCAGCAGUGGGGAAUUUUGGACAAUGGGGGAAACCCUGAUCCAGCCAUCCCGCGUGUAUGAGAAGGCCUUCGGGUUGUAAAGUACUUUUAGCAGGGAAGCGGUAUCUGCAGAAUAAGCACCGGCUAACUACGUGCCAGCAGCCGCGGUAAUUC